rnacentral:rRNA from 1 species
AGUGGCGCACGGGUGAGUAACACAUGGCUGACCUGCCCUUCAGCGGGGAACAACCAGUGGAAACGCUGGCUAAUACCCCAUACGCUCGUGCGGAUUAGAAGCGCAUGAGGAAAGCGCAAGUGCUGAAGGAGGGGGCUGUGGCCCAUCAGCUGGUUGGUAGGGUAACGGCCUACCAAGGCGAGGACGGGUAGGGGACCUGAGAGGGUGACCCCCCACACGGGUACUGAGAGACGGACCCGACUCCUACGGGAGGCAGCAGUAAGGGAUAUUGCGCAAUGGGCGAAAGCCUGACGCAGCAACGCCGCGUGCGGGAUGACGGCCUUCGGGUUGUAAACCGCUUUUCAGGGUGAAGAGGCAGGACGGUAGCCCUGGAAGAAGUCUCGGCUAACUACGUGCCAGCAGCCGCGGUAAAACG